GUUUAUAUAUAUAAAGAGCUGGGGAUGAUCCAAAUACGUUAAGGUAAUGUGUUGAUCAUGCUUGAGGAAAUUUGUUGAUGUAGUUGUUUGCGGAUGUGUGUGGGCGGCCACCCUUAAAUUCUUUUACAAAUGUCUUUUACACAUAUAUUGUAUGUAGAUUUUUUUUUUAAUAACCAAUUAAAGUACAAGUUAUUCGAGUACUUUUGAACUCUAUGUUUCGAUUGCCCCAAGUUUUUUUAUGAAAAAAAAAAUUAUUAUCUUUAAAAUCUAAUAAGUUAUAUUUCCAUACUAUAAUUUGCUUAUUUUGCUUGGCUAAAAGAAAAGUUUGAAUUCCAUUUCAACGUCGUGUACGUAAAUUAGCUAGAAAUUCAAAGACGGUAAGAGGUAAUAUCAUUUUAUACAUAUCUAUUGCAUUUUUUAUACAAGUUUCACACCCAAAUUUGUUUUCCUUUCGAUUUCUUGAUAUGUUUACGGGUUAGUAAAAUCAUUCAAAGCGUACAUUUUUUUAAUAGAAAUACCUCAAUUGAUUGGUUGACCUCUAGCCGUGCAUGGAGACAUGUGUUGAAACCUCAUUAGAAAAAGUUAUUAAUCAUAACAAUAUUUUUAUUUAUUCAUUUCUAUACAUGAAGCAUUAAAGUCAAUAAAUGUUAAAGUUGUUAUAACACCUUCUCAUGCAAUCUAUUUACUUGACCUGCCCUCGGGGACAUAGCCCAGUGGUGCAAAGGACAAGAGUGAGGUUAUCUCACGUCUUAUUGGCAGCCGCAGUGUGGGGGUUCGAUUUCUGAGAAAUGGAAUUUGACUCCUUAUAGGCGCAGUGUACAUGCAGCUCUUGUUCUCUAACUUGUUGGGGCACAUCCUGCAAUUUACGUCCCUCAUAAAGCUCUAAGGACGGGACGGUGGGGACCCUCAAGACUGGGGUUCAACCAUUUUUUUAUUUAAUUGACCUAACUCUUUUUCUUUCUAUAUAGGAUAUUGG
rnacentral:lncRNA from 1 species